CGCGUCCCCACCGCCGCCCGCUCGCACACGCACGGCACUCCGCCGCCGCAGCGCUCUUGGAGCGGCACCGCGGCUUGCUCGGGGCUCCUCGGCUCGCGCUUCUCUCCUCAGAAAUUCAGGCAGAGCCGCGGCGGAGAGCGGGAAAGGUCCCCCUUCUGCUCUGCUGACGGAGGCUCCCACCGCCCCGGCAGAAGGAGCCCCGCUCUGCGGAGCAGAGGUAUUUAUUGACGGGCUAAUUGAAGGGAGGGAAUAGCCCCGACAUCCAGCAGCAGCACAAGUUGUGAACACGGGACCUUAAAAGCUGCUGGGACCUCCGUUUUGCUGGAGAAAGGUUUAAUAUAAAUUAAGCGGGGUGAUGAUUAACUACGGCAGCAUCUGAAGCGCGGUGAGGAGCGAGCGCUGCUCUCUGCCCUUGGAAACCAAAGCAAUCCCUUCCCGAGUGGAGAGGGAGCACUCAGCAUCCUUCCCUCGGCUGCGUCCUUCCCAGAGCUAACCCUCCGUGCUGAAAGCCGAUGGUUAGAAGUAGCAGCACAAUGCAAAAACCCUGCGGUUUGCUCCUGAAGUUCGUGUUUUUGUUAACAGAGCUUCGCCGGCUUCAAAGUUACAGGUGGUGUUUGCUAAGGUUUACGUUCGUGCUGUCACUCACACAAGUGUCGCUAUAUAUCACCCCAUGCUAAGAAAACACACUUUGUGAUUGAAGAAUGGCAUUGUGUUUGCACACGCAUUUUACAAGUAACAAAAUCCAUUUAAUUGACAUGAAAAACACGGCUGCUGCUAGUAACUUUGGGGGCAGCGUCCUGCUUGCAGCCGUAAAAAUAACUCCGGGGAGAACAAAGCGCUUCAGUGCAGAGGGCUGGCUGCGGCGGGAGCGGGGUGGGUGCCAUGCCUUCACAUAAUGAUUGUGUUUAUACACGGCAGGAAGCAUCUGUAAUCCACAGCUGCGGGUGCUCCAGCCCCGAGUCCUGAUAAAAUCUACACCUAUGCUUCUGCAUGAAUGAAAACAGGCUGCUGGACCUGACCGAAAUGCAGCCCGUGUUGGUGAAGUUUUGUGGGUGCCAUCGCCCUCCUUCCUGUUGUGCACCCCAGCGCCUGCUCUGCUCACAUCUCCAUCACACCUCGCACACCAUUUGCCCCAGUCAAGGGACACCCCAGUCAAGUGGCAUCCCCAGCUGCCCCACAACAUGGAGGCAGAGACCCCCCAGCUGCUCGCUGGAGGUUCAGCCUCUUGGCCAAAGAGUGAAGCACUUUCUCUGCCAAGUUCCCUUCUCUCAGGGUGCACAUGCACCCAAAGCAGCACUGUACUGACCUCCCUCCCCAUGCUCACCUCACUGUGCCACCCACCCUGCAGAGUGAAGCCAGCAGUACAUACUGUUCAUACAACGUUUUCAGACCACUUCAGCUCCCCUUCUCAAUCUCUGUGGAAGAGCCGUGCAACAGUUUAAGUUGGGACUUGGCAAAGCAAUGUUGCAGCUGCAGAGGAUGCACGAUGCUUAGCAGAAGUGACCUGUGACGUGGGCUCUGCUAGGUUUCACACCUGGAGCAGCACAGGUAGCAACCUGAGGCUUGCAGACGCCACUGGCAUCUGAUGCUUGUGGGUUUGUUUCAAAAAUCAUACUCUGAAUUCCGAUAGAGCUCUGCCUUCCUUCCCUGCUGCUGUGAGUGGAUGCUCCAACACAGAAGGCUGCCAGGCAGGAGUUGUGAAAAUAUGGCUGUACGAUCUUUAUUUCUUUGUUUUUGCAAAGGCUGGUUUAGAACAGUGGUAAAGGGACACAACUGUCUUAAAUUAAUCAUUUUCCUAAGUUGAAAAAUACCCUUCUUUUCCCAUAAUUAUUUUCAGUUCAAGAAUUCAAAAAUUCAGCUGCAGUGAAGUUUAAUCCAUCUCUAUAAACGCACAAGAAUGGAAAAACACGCAGCUUUUCAGAGGCUUCCAGCAAUACCCAGAAAUAUGUGUAUAAAUUUCCAAACAGCAAAUUUAAAAAGCCUGCAGAGAAAAGAAGUAAAAAAUCCUGAAUUAAAACUCUCUGUUUGUUAUUGGUGCAUGAGUUAUGCCGUAUCAGAUGUCACCCACUUUCGCUUGCCCCAGAACAACAGCUUGGACAAGUGGGAAAUAUUGGGUACUCAGUGAAAAUGGGGUGUGAUGCAGCUCCACAGCAGUCUCAGGAUGGGAGUCUCUUUACAAUGAACAAAAUGAUUUCUGUCUUUGUAUUUUUCAAAUGUUCCAACACCACAAAGUCGUGCCACAGUAGAUUAAACAGAAAAAUAACAGUUUCUGAAAUACAAUCUCCAAAAAAAUAAUUGCAGGAGAAAUAUUCAUUCCUAGUCCAAUAAAUCCCUAAUUUUAAAUGUCAGCUGCAAAGCAUAAAUCCUUUUAAUAGAUUUCAAACUGCGGUGACAAAGUUGUAAUUGUAGGGUCCAGCCCACUCGAAAGAACUGAAUGCCGUUGCUCUGUAUUAGCCACCCUUCUGGUUUAAUUUCUGUUUUUUUUCCAGGGGUUUUGUUUUGCUUUGCCUUGUUUUGGGUUUGUUCUUUUCUUUUUUUUUUUUUUUUUUUUUGGUCCUUGUUUGUUUGUUUGUUUUUGCUGCGGCAUUUUUAUCUCCUCUCUUUUAGGAAUUUUCUGUUACAUUCCUGAGCCUGGUUCUGGAAUACUUUCAUCUCAGAUUGAGCAGAAUCUUGUUUCUGUUCCUCGGUAGAUGUCUGAAGUGCAAAAUCUACUUGAUCAUAACUUUCUGUGGGGUUUACUGCAGGGUAGUCUGCACGUAAAGACCCUGAAGUCAUGUGAAAUAGGAGCCUUGACCUCAAGACACAAUAAAGUUGGCUGGUUUGGUUGUGGCUCAAAAGGUCACUUUUUUUCGGGGGCUGCCUCUGAGUGCUGUUUUAAACUAAUUAUUACCUUUGAUUUUAACUUAACGUUUGUUUAAAAAGAAAAAAAAAAGAGAGAGAGGAAAGAAGAAAAGAAAAAGAAGAAAGAAUGAAAAGGAAAUGAAAGGAAAAGGAAAAAACCCUCAGUUACUACUACUUAAACAGUUUGACUGGCAUGUAUAUCACAUUAUGGACAUAUGAAAAGACAAGAUUUCUGCCUGAGGAGCUUAUAGUGUAAAACAGACAGAAAGUACCGUGAAUAAUAAAAGCAGACAGAGCAGAGAUUUGUGUGUGUACGUGGGAAGAGUGGGGAGGUGCGUAGAAACAUAUUCAGAGCUCAGAAAUAUUCUACCAAUUGACACUGAUUAUGAUACUUUUCUUUCUUGUUCUGUUUCCAUGUACGUACGGUAAUAGCUUUGUUCUUCUCUAUUUACCUGUUUUUUCAGUGAGAUAUUCUAUCACAGGAGAUCACCUGCUUUCUUUUUCUGUUCUAGGUUCUAGGACAAUGGGUAACACACAUACAUCUUUAUUUUUCUACUCGGCCAUAACAUAUGACACCGAAAUCCCCCCCUCAAAAUGUUAUAUCUGCUUCCCUUGGCAGGGUUUCCCUAGUAAUCCACAGUGACUCACCACUGCAAAGUACAAUUCUCACUUAACAGAAAAUAAAAAUGAGCUUGAAAUUUUGGACUUCUGACUCUACCAUCCCCUAACAAAUGCCAUCUUUAGGUUUGUUGUUGUUGUUUUGCUUUGUUUCUUAUAUAUAUAAAAUGUUCAGAAACAGGCAAACAAACAAGAUAUUUGGAGUCAACCUCUUUUUCCUUAUGCUCAGCUGCAUUAGGCGAUUGAAAAUGGAAAAAGAAGAAAAAGAGAGCUAAACAGCUCUUUAACAAAGGAUGAACGCUACAUGGGCUUCAUUCUUUUUAGGUGUUGAAAGUGAGAUGCUGUCAGAAAUAGGAGUAUCAGAAAAGGUGACGGAACAAGCCGAGAAAUUACACUGCAGUCAAUCAGCCGGGCCAGAUGGUAUUCAUCCGAGAGUUCUGACGGAACCAAGGACCGGCGCAAGUGAGCUGCUAACAAAAAUAUGUAAUUUAUCAUUAAAAACAGCUACUGUACCAGAGGACUGGAGAAUGGCCAAGGUUGUACCCAUCUCUUAAAAAGGUGCUAAUGAUGAUCCUGGGAAUUAUAAACCAGUAACUCUUACUUCAGUACUAGGAAACUAUUCAGAGAAUCGCUGCACAUAAUGUGCCGAGGCACACAGAUAGCAAGGGAAAGCUGCAGUGCUCCUACUGAAAUCCUCUCAGCUCUCUUGGAACUACACGAAAGAGUUAAUGAACUAGUCAAUAAAGUAGAACCAGAAGACGCAAUUUAUUUAGUGUUUCCAAAAGCUUAUAGUAAAGUCUCUCAGAAGAAAAACCACAGCAGCUCCAGAAUUAAAAUCCAGUUGUGCUGAAAAACUGGCUAGAGGAUGGAAAACUAUAUAUAUUUAUCAAACUGCUUUGAAUCGUGCCUCUUGAAAGCAUUUUAUAAACGCUAGCAGAUGCCCACCUCUUCCAAAUGAGCUGGUUGUACCAGAGGUUAAAGAGCUUACCUGGAAUCGAAGGGACAGCUGUGGCAGAGCCAGGGCUUCGGCUCCGGAGCAGCAGGUUCCAGAGUUGUGCUCGGCUCCCCAAGCUGCGAAAGGAUCAGCAGUCAUGCAAGCAGAGAGGUUAACUCCGAAUUGCCCCUGGGAUCAAUAGUAGCCAUAAGGAUGGGUUUGUCCAACGUGUUCAUUAACCACCUUAAACAUCUUCCAGAAUGAGGAUGGUAACAUUUGUUUUCACUGCUACAGCCACAGCUUGCUUGCUGGUGUUCAGACCUGGCACCCAUUGAUCUAAAUGGGAAAAUUCAUGACAGCACUUGGCCAUUUAUUGAGUUAACUGAAUUUCGGCAAAACCUAAAGAAAUUCCAGAGUAAGCUAGAGAACUGAGAUAGAAUGGCAAUAUGAUGGCAGUCAAAAUUAAACAGACUAUUGCCGAGGAGUUUGUGCCGGAAAAUAUUGUCAAGAACUGAUGGCAAUUAAUUAGCCCGGGAAAAUCUAAGCAUCAUUCACUGAAAAAAAGCUACCCAGCGUACUGCAGUAGCUUAGAAAGCAUACAAAAGCAGAUGAGACACUCAGAUACAUUAAAAACCAAAAAGAUGGCUGAACAUAAAAUAUUACUGCGUGAUUUCAUGAGUAAAAGUUGCAUUUCUGGACAUCCUGUCGUAUUUUUGUCACUGUGUUAUAGCGAAGUGAGGAAACACAGAGAAAUGCAGUAAACAUGAUUAAUGAAACAGGAGAUGGGACCAAGUUAGGAGGUAGACUUAGAAGAAAUCAUUUAAUUUAGAAGCAUGAAGAGGAUGAGGAGUUUUAGGACCACAUAAAAUUUCAGUUGAUGCAGAAAAGCUCAGAUGUUCCUGUCUGUUCUGUUUCAUUUCAGAAAAAAAAUAAGCAGGAAACAUAUUUAAAUGAAUAUAUGAAGGUGUUUUUUGUUGUGUUUUGGUUUUUUUUUUCUCGUUAGAAUAUAUAGCUGAGUCGUGGAAUUUAUUUUUGCAACAGAAGAUCGAGAAAAACAGCUCUGGGGGCGAUUGCUAUGCUUUAGUAGGAAAAAAAGGAGGAAAAAAAGAGAUUAGAAAAGGGAAACAAAAGCUAAGAGAGGAGGAAGAGUAACUCUGCCAUGUCUCCCCAUCCACACAGACCCUCUGGCUGUCCCUUCACACAGUGGCUUGUGGAGGAAGAUCCAAGAAACCCAUGACCCAAGCCAUCCUAUGCAACAUGUUUUCCCCUCUAAAGCCAUUCCUUUUUCUGACAGAAAUCCAUACAAGUUCUGCUGUGGGUCUCUCCUGCAGAGAGACUCUCUCUCUUGUCUCUCUCUCUGGGGCAGGAUGGGGGCAGAGAGGGAAGAGCACAGCCAGCCCAGAGCCUGGUCCUGUGCCAGAGCUGGGCCUGUGCUGCCCGACAUCCCUUCAAUCCCCAGGCACCGAUGCAAUCCCCUGAGAGGGGAAAAAGCAGUGGGAACUCCAUGUGCCUCUCCUGGUGGAAUUUCUCAGCACUUUUUCUUUCCUCGGGAUUUUUCCCAAGAGAAAGGAGUAUUUAGCCUUCACUUAGCUUUACCGAAGUAUUAGACAUUUAUUUGAUUAAGUACAGCAUCUGCAGCCGCACCAGCUAGAAUAAAAAUUACAAGGGCUAUCAAUCCUCAUACUUCAAGGCACGAGCUGAUGGCCAGCUGGGGUCGGGAAGAAAUUCCCCAGUGCUGCCAUGAGGUACAGGGUGCUGCCUCCCGCACCGGGCACAGUGCGAGGUCGGGGGCGCGGGGCCGGACGGGCCUUGGCCUCAGUGCAGGGAUUCCUUUGUUCCCGGGCUGGGUUUCUGUGCUGCACGAGUUUGUCAUCGUGUCUAAAUCAAGCGUUAAUUAUAAUUCUGAAAAUGCGGGAAUAUUCAUGAAUUCUUAUGUUGGCAAUAACCGUGCGUAAUACAAUACGGACAAAAACAACGUCUGCUGCGCAGCAAAAAGGAAGUUGACGGCUUUGAGCACAAGGCACUUUCUGUUUCCAGUUACCCUCCAGAACUCCUUGCACCCGAGAGUCAACGCCUUGGAGAAUAAUAACGUAAUUGCGAUUUUGUUUUAUGGUAUUCUGACAACAAAUUUGAUUCAGUAGUGUCUGCGCAGUUCAAACAAAACAAAGCACUCCAAGAGUUCGACUGCACGAUGCUGAUAUUUUUUAUGAGCUCGAAUGUAAUCCAAAGAACGGCGUGAUGGUCUUGAUGAACAUACUUUAAAUAAAAUUUCCUUCUCUGGUUCUCUGGUUCCAUCAGCAUUUUGAUAGAACUCUGAGAGAAAAAAAACAAAAAACCCCGAUAGCUGCUUUAUUCCUGUCAGGUUCUUUUUGUAAAGCAACUCGCGGAGAUGAUUGCAAGAGUACAUUAAAGGCAUGCAUUUUCGAAGUUAGUCAGUUGUCAAAGUGAUUUUGAGGGUUGACAAUCACAUUUAAGACAAAUAUAGAAAUCUGAAAGAAAUGCUUACAAGCAAUUUCAUAUUCUGGGCAAUGAUUUAGUUUGGAAAUGCAUCCAGUUCAAGGGUUAAAUGAAAGCAAAAGCAAUCACUUCAACCAUGUUUUUGAAGAAAAUAAAACAGCUUGAUGUAAGCUAAAUGAAGGGGGUCUGUGACUUAAAAGGAAUGGACAGAUAGAGAAAAAGGUCAGAAGAUUAAAUUUUCCCUAAGGGAAAAGUCAUUCUUUGGAAUCAUUAACCUCCUUCUAGGUCACUACUGAAAAAAACAGCAGGAAAUCCUACUGCUCCUAGAAAGAUGGGUGCAUCAUAUACCGCCCACUGACCUACCGGCACUGUGGCAAACAGAAUUCUGCUUACACAUUCUCCUCCAGGCGUGCUUGGUUUUAGUACGCCCAUUUUAAAGCAAUAUGAUCUUUUAGCUGAACUCUGAAGUGUAUCCAUAAAGGCAAUAUUCUAGGGGCUCUGGACGUUAAAAAAGAAGAAUCGCUUGUUUAAAUGUCUUUUUAACGGGGAGAAAUCUGGAAGAGGGGUUUACGAAUUAAAAAGUUGGUCAGCAAUAUGUAUCCAUUGUCCAUUUCUCUUUAGGACUAAAAUUAAUCAUCAUCAUAGUUUCAAUGCGUUUUAGUGACUUUUUGAAACCUAAAACACACUGUCAGCAUGCCAGAAGCAGCAGUAUGCCUCAAAGUAUCUCCUUGUCUCAAAGAACCUACAUGAGAGUGUUUCCCUGUUUCUAUUGUAAGCCAAAUCUGCUCCCUCCUAGAGGAGCCUGAGAGUAAACAUUACUCCAAGUAGGAGGAUUGGUAUACAAACACGUACACAUACACGCAUAUGUAUGUAAAUGGUAAGUACUAUUAGAGCAUUUCAAAGACAUUCUGUAGCAUUUAUCAGAUCGUAUUCAGAUGAACAGUCUUACCAGUCUUGCUGGAAACAAGUAUUUUAUCACAGCCAAGCCUCAAAAUAAGUGAGGGAAACUACCUGCAGUCAUUUUGUACCACACGAUACCAUGCAGAAGCAUUCAUAUUUACAUUGAAUGCGACCUCUUUUUCUUCCCUACUUGCCCCAGAAAUAAAACUCCUGAUCAAAAUAAAUGUGGAUUCGUAUUUGCUUUUGACAGAAGCCCCAGUCCAGCUAAGACUGGCAGCAAUUGGACGCCUGUGGCUGUGCAAUGCCCCUCGCCUACAUGGAGACUCCGGGCAAAGUCUGCACCCUCCUGCACAAUCAAUGUCUUCACAUUAAAGGAGAAAAAAAAAAAGUGCAUAUUCAGAAGAGAAUUCUAAUGUAAGAAUUCUUCUGCUAGUAGUAAGACUUCAGCAACUUAAAGCUAUGUUGCACUGUGGAAAAAGUGAGAAUAUUGGCUCAUCUAUUAAGACAUCUCAGAUCUCAGCCCUUCUGAAUGAACAUUGAUCAAUGCUGUUUCUUAAUUUGAUGUAGUCUUUUUUUUUUCCCAUUAUUUUUUACAUACGUGAAAUUGAAAAAGAAAAAUUGAGCAGGAAUGAUCACAACCGAUUUACUGCCCUGGAAGAAGAAGGUGCCCUGUAUUACUUUGAUUUGUGAAAUCGUGCGUUUUAUAAAAAGCCACUUUUCACAUGUAAGCAAGAUCUUUCAAUAUUUCAGAAGACAAUGGCACAACCUCUGGAGAAUAAAGGCAUUGAAAGAAGUAGCUAAGAGGAAGACAAACACAGCACAGUUUGUGGGAAUUAGCACCCUUUACAAAGCCUAGAUGAGGGCAGAAACACACUGAAUCACAUUCUUCCAACGCGAUAAUUUUUACUCUUGUUCACACAACUGAAUAGCCAAUAAGCACGAAUCUCCUCCCGAACGCUUGCAGCCCGUUACGCAACGUAAAUUGGGCACAUAGGUAAUGAUUUCACGAUAUGAAGGAAGAGAAUGAUGUGCCUUGCUUGCUUGCUAGCCAAAAUGCAUUUCUGAGGCAGGAAAUCAAAAACACAUCCCAAGCCCUGCAAGUAGACUGCCCGCACUCGCCCUGCUGCCAUUAGAGGCUGUCAGGAGGCUGUCAGCUCCAGGAGCCACCGCCACCCAAGGCAAGGCUGCCCCGGUGCCUCCUCCCUGGGAGCGUGCUUUCUGAUCACCCUUCGCUAACAGACAGUGAGGAAAUAUUGCACUGCUGUUGCAGCUGCUUGGAGAACUCCUCAAAUACAGUGCAAACACCGCACUGAAACAAAGCAACGGGAGAAUGCUGCAGCAGAGACCUCAGCUGAGAGGCAAGAUGCAAGAUUUAUUAUGACACAGUGCAGAGGAUAUCUGAAAGGGAAGUCUAACCAAAGCAUUAAUGUGUCUUUUCCUCUUUCCUUCCCUCUUCCCCCUACCCCCCAUGUUAUUUUCCUUUGCAAUUCCUAUGUAUACAUACAAAAUUGUUUCUUUUCUCAAGUGAAACGGCAUCUAAAAUGAUGAAGAAUUUUAGGAGGUGACUGUUUCCUAAGAUCUUUUCUACUUGUUUUGUUCUGUGUUCCAGUGUUCUCUACCCACAGGACUCUGAAACGCUGAGAUUUCAGCAGUUCAUAUGUCUGCCUGCCCACCUCUUUUAUUAAAGGGUUGUGUUUCUCUUCUGUCAACACCUAUUCUUUAGCAUACAUCUCUGCUAUCAUUCAGGAAAAUGUUGGCAUAACAUUUUUUUUUUCUUUUUCUUUUUUUCCUUUUAAAUUCAUUUCUGUAGCCGGGCUUUUCCUUUUAAGUCUCCUUCAUUUCUGUCAUCGGUUUCAACCCCGAAGUUCUCACUUUUGCAAGACAAUGCGCUAUUUUCACACGUGUAAAACACUGAGCAAAGUGGAAUCGCAGAUGUCACAUUUACAUGUUUAUGUUUUUUGUUUCUUUUUUUUUCUCUGCCAGUCGCUCACUUCAACUCUCCAAGCCCAAGGUACUGCAGUGGAGCUGAGAUUCCCUGCGUUCCUGCAUGCAGACCUCCAGCUUUCUGAAACGAGUAGGUAUCUCGAAAUACGUGGCAGCUUCAGUUUCAGGGAUAAAAGCAUUUGCUGUGAAAUCCAACAAUGACCCGUGCACAGACGUUUGCAAUCUUUCCCACACGUGACCAUAAACCAGCCUUGUUAAUUUUCUGUACUCUCUCGGCCCUUUUUAUGUGGAAAAAGAAAAGACAGAAAAAACACCCUCCCAGGCAGAAAGGUGAGUCGUGGGGAAGAAACUCCCCCAGGCUGCCCACUGCUGAGGUUCCCCACCAGGAUAGCAGAGAGGACCUGCUUUUGGCUCAGCGUGGAGAGGCCGUGGGAUCUGCCCCCGGAUCCAGCAGGUCGGUGGGAUGCCGCGACCCCAUGCCCUGCAGCUCGCUCCUUUGUUCCAGGGCUGGCAGCCAGAGCCCUAUGAGCAGAGCUGGGGUCUCCACAGGAGUCCCCGCUCCCAUGAUGGGGUCCCCAGCCCUGCUCCUACUGCGGGGUGUUCGCACUGCAGGGUGUUAUUAAUGAUUUCUGGGGUGCCGUGUGUGUAAAAAACGUGCUCUAUGGAAGAGGCAUCGCAAAUUUAAUUUGCCUCUCUUGAGCACUGUUGCCUGGAUGUACGUGAGCUCACAGCCCAGGCGUGAGUCGCUCUGCCCCAAGCUCCAGCUCCUCGUGCCACAUCAACCUGCAGCUCCCCGCUCCCCAGAUUUUUCAAAGCCUUUCAGUUUGGCCAGAUCGGGCUCUUUUUCACAGAAACAAAAAAAGGCUCAUUGCUGUCACCAAAAGUGACACCCUCCCCAUACAUCUCCCUCCCCCUCCUGCACAUCCAAUUAUCAAGUCUCUUUUCCAAAGUAUGAGAUCUCUAGAGCUUCUCAAUGAAGGGUUUGUAAUAAUUCUUUUAACAUGGCAAAACACCACAUUAUUCCCUAAACAUUAAUGUUGCAUGAAUGCGAGACUUCUUUUCCCCAUGAAAUUUCCUUUUUGAUUUUACAAAACAGAAAGUGCAAUUUAAAACAAUGCUAAUGGAGCUCCUAUAUUCCAUAAUCUAAAAUAAUUUGGUGUGGUGCCAACAACCAGCUUGCUAAACUGCUUGUCUGAGGUACCCAUCCGACCUCCAACAAGGGCACACAGGCCCUUCCUACUACGGCAGGGUCUUUCUGAGAACGCAGCAUGACACACCACAGUGUUUUUGGUCAUUUGGACUUUGAAAGACCAGAGCAUUAUAUUCCAGACCUUACAAAACACCACUCAAUGACCUGACACCAACUGAACACCUACCGAUCAUAGAAUCACAGAAUGGCUUAGGGCGGAGGUGACCUCCAAGCCCAUUCAGCCCCACCCCUGCCAUAGGCAGGGCUGCCACCCAGCAGCUCAGCUGCCCAGGGCCCCAUCCAACCUGGCCUUGAGCGCCUCUGGGGUUGGGACACCUAUAAAAGCUAUGAGAUGCGAACAUCAUAACAGUUAAGCAGCAGUCUUUUCCACUUGCUCCCACCAGAGCUCAGGUUCUAGUGAGGUGACCCAGACCCAGUGAGUUCAAUGAACUGUAAAACAAAUUUGAGUAAUACAUAUCUGAGUUAUGUUAUAGAUUGUAGACAAGAGGAAAGGCAAUUCCACAGGCACAUCCUGCCCACACUGUCUUUCAGCUGUUUUUUUUUUUUUUUUAAGACAGGGCUCUUUCUGCCCUCUGUGAUGCUUGGAUAAGGCUCUGUUCUCUAAGCUCUUGAAUAAGCUGAGAUACUGCAGUAUUUGCCAGAGGAGAAGGCCACAGCACAGACACAGAGAAGAGGGAGAGAUUGUGGAUGUUUUCAUGCCUUUGUGUCCUCUUGGAGAGGUGAAGUCAAGGGGUGGCUGCUUGAAGGCUGCCCAGCAAAACAGCCAAGAGAGAGUUUGUUGAGGAUUUGGCAACACAGAUAUGCACAACUACAAUCGAAAUACAUGAUCUGAGGAAAUACACUCUUUCUUGUUGAAAACAGCAUCUUGCUGUUUCUAUCUUUGGAGUUAAUAUUUAAAGACUAGAGCUCUAAUACACUCCAAGACACUCUCUUAUUUCCUUUCAUGGGGUCACUUUACUGUAUUUUCUUGUUUAAAUAAGUUGUAAAAGAUGCAUCUGGCAGAUCCACCUUGUAAACUGAUUUUCUAACCUGGUCAUAUCAUUAUUCAGUACUAGCACUAUGUUCCACCUUGAGGUCCCAUAGAAACACCUCCAUGCCCAGCGUUCUGCUUGGGUACCAUUGCUCAGAGACCAUGAAAGCAUGAAACUGGAUACUAUCCCUGCAGGUUGGUGCAGUUAUGAUGUGGCUAAAUGAAAACAAAAUAGCUUUUGAUGCUUAUUGUUCUUUUCUCUUUUUUUUUUUUUUUUUUUGCCAUUUUUAUUCUUCACUGACUGUAAGCUCAGUAAGGAUGCAUUUCUCAAAAGGAGCUGAAGUUUCCCUUCAACAUAUUAGAAAUUCUGCAUUUCAGUGACUCCCACCAACGUUUUUAUCCCCCCUCACAAAAGCAGUCCUAUCCAAGGAUCUUAAAAAAAAAAAAAAGAAAGAAAGGUUGGUCUUUAAGUAAUACAUAUGAUAUUAGUUUUUCCGUUUUAAAAUAAUCACAUUAUUGCAGACAUUUUAAUAGCUGUAGAGGUUGCUAUGUAUUAACAUGAUUCAUGGUCCUUGACAGCAGUGUCUCUGAAAAUCCCACAGGAAUGCAAAAUACAAAACUCCACACACGUUCAAAUUUUACUGCCUGCAGCUAAAAGAGGGGAAAAAAAAACUUAAAACUGUUGAAACCCUUCAACUUUAAAAGCAUUAAUAGAUGGUCCCAGGGGAUUAAAUCUAAAUCUUAAUGUGUAAAAAUCAAGUUAAUAACCACAGAGAUUAAUAUGGUUGCAUUUGAUUAUUGUGAUAAUGCAAACAAUUAGUACUGCUAAAGUGAGAUAUAUUAGCCUCCUACUUGCCCCACACACAUCUGCAAAGCAUUGGAAAUAAAUGGAAAUAAAACAUUUUUCUCUGAAAGAUUUUUCUUCUCUCCUUUUGCCACUGUCUUAUUUUCUCUGUAGCUGACUCAUUUUUUAAAUUAUAAUUGCUAACAUUUUAUUAUUAAGCCCCUCUGUUAUACGACUCUUAUAAAAUUGGUUGCCAUAACCAUCCAUUCCAUAUUGUCAGCAAAGUAUGCAUUCCUCACCAAUACCAGUAAAUAAAUAAAUCUUCCAAUUAAACGAUGUGACUUUUCUUUUAAGUACAAAAAUGCCAGACAAAUAUUUUAACCCAAGAAAAAUACAAACUUCUUCUUAGUCCAUCGUUUAUCGUUUUAAUCCAGAAUGCCAUGGGAACAGAACUGGGCAUCUAAUCCAAUCU
ensembl:lncRNA